ACGAACCGUGCGAACGUUGUUCGGAAUCACUGGGCUUAAAGGGCGCGUAGGCGGGUGUGCAAGUCUGCGGUGAAAGCCUCCAGCUUAACUGGAGAAGUGCCGUGGAUACUGCUCAUCUUGAGGAGGGUAGGGGCAUCUGGAACGGUCGGUGGAGCGGUGAAAUGCGUUGAUAUCGACCGGAACUCCGGUGGCGAAGGCGAGGUGCUGGACCCUUUCUGACGCUGAGGCGCGAAAGCCAGGGGAGCAAACGGGA
rnacentral:rRNA from 1 species